UUUACUCUUUAUUUAACUUUGGAUUAAAGAAUCAUUCAGUUAAAGGGAUGCUUUGCUUGUGAGGGUUUCACAGCAUGCAGGUAUGCGUAUUGAUUAAUGUACAAAUAUGCUAAUGGAAAGUUCAUUGCCUUUUUCUCAAAAAAAUAACAAGUUUUUCAUUGCCAAUGGCUCGGCCAAACCCUUCCCCGGGCCAAACUUACUUGUUCAGAAUCUCUUAACCGUGUUGUUGUCGAGUGCACUGUUAUUAAUUACACUAUAAAGUAAAAUAAACUUUCUUAGUUAAUGGAG
rnacentral:lncRNA from 1 species